rnacentral:rRNA from 1 species
CCUACGGGAGGCAGCAGUGAGGAAUAUUGGUCAAUGGACGAGAGCCUGAACCAGCCAAGUAGCGUGAAGGAUGACUGCCCUAUGGGUUGUAAACUUCUUUUAUAUGGGAAUAAAAUGUUCCACGUGUGGCUUUUUGUAUGUACCAUAUGAAUAAGGAUCGGCUAACUCCGUGCCAGCAGCCGCGGUAAUACGGAGGAUCCGAGCGUUAUCCGGAUUUAUUGGGUUUAAAGGGAGCGUAGGUGGGUUGUUAAGUCAGUUGUGAAAGUUUGCGGCUCAACCGUAAAAUUGCAGUUGAUACUGGCAGUCUUGAGUACAGUAGAGGUAGGCGGAAUUCGUGGUGUAGCGGUGAAAUGCUUAGAUAUCACGAAGAACUCCGAUUGCGAAGGCAGCUCACUGGACUGCAACUGACACUGAGGCUCGAAAGUGUGGGUAUCAAACAGGAUUAGAUACCCGGGUAGUC